rnacentral:rRNA from 1 species
AUUGAACGCUGGCGGCAUGCCUUACACAUGCAAGUCGAACGGUAACAGGUCUUCGGAUGCUGACGAGUGGCGAACGGGUGAGUAAUACAUCGGAACGUGCCCGAUCGUGGGGGAUAACGAAGCGAAAGCUUUGCUAAUACCGCAUACGAUCUACGGAUGAAAGCAGGGGACCGCAAGGCCUUGCGCGAACGGAGCGGCCGAUGGCAGAUUAGGUAGUUGGUGGGAUAAAAGCUUACCAAGCCGACGAUCUGUAGCUGGUCUGAGAGGACGACCAGCCACACUGGGACUGAGACACGGCCCAGACUCCUACGGGAGGCAGCAGUGGGGAAUUUUGGACAAUGGGCGAAAGCCUGAUCCAGCCAUGCCGCGUGCAGGAUGAAGGCCUUCGGGUUGUAAACUGCUUUUGUACGGAACGAAAGACUCUGGUUAAUACCUGGAGUCCAUGACGGUACCGUAAGAAUAAGCACCGGCUAACUACGUGCCAGCAGCCGCGGU